rnacentral:lncRNA from 1 species
UUCUUCUUGAUAGGGUUAAAAAAAAAAAAAAGUAAAAUACAAACAGCUGUAUGAAGUGUGUCUGCAGAAUAAUAACAUCUUUCUAGGAAGGAUGUGCCUGUCGUUCCUUGAAAAUAGCAAAACUUUAUUUCCAUCGUGAGGAAGACUGACUCGCUCAUCUCUGGAGUAUUUUACUUCUGCACCAGGUACACUGCCAUCACCGAACACCGCUGCACUGGAUCCUCUUGGAAAGAUGUGUGUCCUUUGCACGAAGCCCAGCACAGUGGAUGUUAUGGCAGGGCACACUGCCUUGUGUAAUACUAGCUCUGUUUGCACAGGUGUUGGAUGGCUUUAGAGCCUGGAUCCAUGGAUGAUGUGAGUGUCCAGGAGGUCUUCUGUGGCUUACAGACUCUGCUGGGAGGUGAAUGCUUUCAAAAUUAAAUCCUCUUUAGAAUUGCUGAAACCUUCAUGAGUAACAGUCAUCAUUUGCAUUAAAAGCUUUGCUUAUUGCCGAAGUUAUUUCAUAUUCCUUUUGAUUAGUGGCAGAGAAAUAUUAGACUUUGGAUAUAUAAUUCUUUCCUUAUCAUCAGCUUUCUGGGACAUCAGAAAGGAGACAAAAACAGUAAGGGCAGCUGUGCUCUCUGUGAAAUCCAGGGCUACCUGGAUGGUCUGAGGAAUGGCUCUAGUCAUUUAUUUUUCUAAAGCUGCUGGAAACUGCUGCACAGGAACCUAUGUCUGUUUUGUGAAAUGAACAGUUAUAUUUAUUACUGAGAAGGUCAAAAGGAAGGAGAAACUCGCUGAUGGUAUGCAGGCAUCCAGGUAGUGAGAAGCAGGGAGUGGAGAUUUCCACCAGUACUGGUGGAAAGACCAGAGCAGAGGCAGUCACAGCAACAUCUGAUUAAAAUCAGAACUGAUUAAAAUCAGAAGAAAGGACGAAUAAAACAAGAGCGGAUUGAAAGUACA